rnacentral:rRNA from 1 species
CAAUAGCGUAUAUUUAAGUUGUUGCAGUUAAAAAGCUCGUAGUUGGAUUUCGGGUGGGACGCAGCGGUCUCGCAUUGCGUUUGUACUGCUGCAGCCCUCCUUCUUGCCGGGGGCGGCCUCUCGGACUUCACUGUCUGGGGGUCAGAAUCGGCGAUGUUACUUUGAGUAAAUUAGCGUGUUCAAAGCAAGCUUACGCUCUGAAUAUAAUAGCAUGGGAUAACACGACAGGACUCUGGCCUAUCGUGUUGGUCUAUAGGACCAGAGUAAUGAUUAAGAGGGACAGUCGGGGGCAUUCGUAUUCCGUUGUCAGAGGUGAAAUUCUUGGAUUUACGGAAGACGAACAUCUGCGAAAGCAUUUGCCAAGGAUGUUUUCAUUGA